GACGAACGCUGGCGGCGUGCUUAACACAUGCAAGUCGAACGGAAAGACCCUACUUUUGUGGGGUGCUCGAGUGGCGAACGGGUGAGUAACACGUGAGUAACCUGCCCUUGACUUUGGGAUAACUUCAGGAAACUGGGGCUAAUACCGGAUAGGAGCUCCUGCUGCAUGGUGGGGGUUGGAAAGUUUCGGCGGUUGGGGAUGGACUCGCGGCUUAUCAGCUUGUUGGUGGGGUAGUGGCUUACCAAGGCUUUGACGGGUAGCCGGCCUGAGAGGGUGACCGGCCACAUUGGGACUGAGAUACGGCCCAGACUCCUACGGGAGGCAGCAGUGGGGAAUAUUGCACAAUGGGCGGAAGCCUGAUGCAGCAACGCCGCGUGCGGGAUGACGGCCUUCGGGUUGUAAACCGCUUUCGCCUGUGACGAAGCGUGAGUGACGGUAAUGGGUAAAGAAGCACCGGCUAACUACGUG
rnacentral:rRNA from 1 species